CCCAGACUCCUACGGGAGGCAGCAGUGGGGGAUAUUGCACAAUGGGGGAAACCCUGAUGCAGCGACGCCGCGUGGGUGAAGAAGCGCCUCGGCGCGUAAAGCCCUGUCAGCAGGGAAGAAAAUGACGGUACCUGAAGAAGAAGCCCCGGCUAACUACGUGCCAGCAGCCGCGGUAAUACGUAGGGGGCAAGCGUUAUCCGGAUUUACUGGGUGUAAAGGGAGCGUAGACGGCAAUACAAGUCGGAAGUGAAAUACCCGGGCUCAACCUGGGAACUGCUUUGGAAACUGUAUGGCUAGAGUGCUGGAGAGGUAAGCGGAAUUCCUAGUGUAGCGGUGAAAUGCGUAGAUAUUAGGAGGAACACCAGUGGCGAAGGCGGCUUACUGGACAGUAACUGACGUUGAGGCUCGAAAGCGUGGGGAGCAAACAGGAUUAGAUACCCUUGUAU
rnacentral:rRNA from 1 species